rnacentral:misc_RNA from 1 species
UGCAACCUUCUGCAUACAUUACAGUGCGUCUGCAGUUGGGAGGAUCGCGCUAAGAUGUUCACUGAAGUUGAAGGGAUUAUACGGAGGCAAAUUACUAUGUCCGUCCUUCCUAGCGUGCAGCCUUUUCAUGCUAUCGCGUAUCCCAUUGAUCCAAUGCUGGCACUUGAUAUCAGCCGCAAGUAUGCAGCUCAUUGCUCCAUGAUUGCAUCGCGUUUUGGACUUCCUCCUUUCAAUCAUCCUCCACCAAUUCCUAUAAAGCGUGAUCGUGGCGAGAGACUUAGGAUUGGUUAUGUGAGCAGCGACUUUGGUAAUCAUCCCUUGUCACACCUUAUGGGAUCCGUCUUUGGCAUGCACAACAGAGAGAAUGUUGAGGUUUUCUGCUAUGCUUUGAGCCCAAAUGAUGGUACAGAAUGGAGGCAGCGUAUCCAGUCCGAAGCUGGGCAUUUUGUAGAUGUUUCUGCCAUGUCGUCAGACAUGAUUGCCAAACUGAUUAAUGAGGAUAAAAUACAGAUCCUCGUUAAUCUCAAUGGUUAUACCAAGGGUGC